GCGUAGUUUACCGGUAAAACGCUUCCUUGCCAAGGAAGAGACAGUGGGUCCAAUUCCCAUCGCCCGCUCCG
rnacentral:tRNA from 1 species